rnacentral:rRNA from 1 species
AACGAACGCUGGCGGCAGGCCUAACACAUGCAAGUCGAACGCAUCCUUCGGGGUGAGUGGCAGACGGGUGAGUAACGCGUGGGAAUCUACCCAUUGGUACGGAACAACCGAGGGAAACUUCGGCUAAUACCGUAUGUGCCCGAAAGGGGAAAGUUUUAUCGCCAAUGGAUGAGCCCGCGUCGGAUUAGCUAGUUGGUGGGGUAAGAGCCCACCAAGGCGACGAUCCGUAGCUGGUCUGAGAGGAUGAUCAGCCACACUGGGACUGAGACACGGCCCAGACUCCUACGGGAGGCAGCAGUGGGGAAUAUUGGACAAUGGGCGCAAGCCUGAUCCAGCCAUGCCGCGUGAGUGAUGAAGGCCCUAGGGUUGUAAAGCUCUUUCAGCGGGGAAGAUAAUGACGGUACCCGCAGAAGAAGCCCCGGCUAACUUCGUGCCAGCCGCCGCCGUAACAC